rnacentral:lncRNA from 1 species
UAAAAUAUACAGCUCUAUCCAGAAUAGCAAUUAGUAUUACUAGAGUACUAAAUCCCCAACUGAAGUUGUUGUACUUCUCAAAAAAGAUAAUUGUCGAUAUGAGUCUUAAUCUAUUAUGAUCUGAGUUUUAUGAAUCUGUAAAGGUAAUUUCUUGAAGGAAAACUUAUUUAAAGUGAAAUCAAAUAUUGUUUCUAUAGCAACUCACAAAAUUAAUUGGUUGUCCAUAGCAAUCUAUGAGAUUCAAACAAAUCUAGAAUAUCAAGGAUAGAUCAUGCACAAAAAUUCAGUUACUAUCAAUUAAAAAGUUAUCAACUGAAUGUAAAUCCAAAGCUGGCCAUUUCAGUUUUUGAGUUUAAAAAACUUCUAAAUUUCUAACAAGUUUAAAUGGUUAAAUGCAUAGUUUGUGGAGUUGUGAGAAGUUAUGCAUAACUAUCACCUUUCUAAACAGUACAAAAGUCACAAAACAUAUAUAAUUUGUGGAAAAUUAGGCCAGCUCUCCUUGCAUCUGUUACUUUCUUCAUAGUUGCAUUUCAUGUCUAAUUAGGCAGCUUUGCUGAUUAUCCCCAAUUUGUAAUUAGUACCUGUAUAUGCACUUGUUUUCAGCAAUAAAUUAAGAUAACUUACAAUAUGUAAUUUUACUUUCAUGUAAUGGGAUUUAGUGCAUGAUAGUACCAUUUAGUGUCAUAUACCAUUUUUCUUUUGUGACCUGUUGUAGUAUAGCCAACUACUCCUAACUUCUUCAGUUACUAGAUGCUAGGACAUGGUUACUUUUCAGAAAGUCUCAAACCUUAAACUCUACAAACAAGUGAAGUAUUUCAAGAACAAAAACAAAACUACAGGACUACAAUACAAAACAUUCAGUGCAUAGAUAAUAAAUGAGAAGAAAAUGAACUGUGAAGCGCCUUACAGAGAUGGGAAGUUAUUUUUAAUCACUUUCACUUGAACCCUCAAUUUUCUCCUAUAAUACAAACAAAAACCAUCCUGAAAUAAGAGCAGUAUAUAAGAGAGAGGAGAUAAAGAAACCCGAAUUGAAAAUGCCAGAGAGUAAUCUGUAAAUAGAUUAAUGAGACUAAACAUUUUCCAUCCUCCGAUGGCCCAACAAAUGAUAAAUUUGAAAGGCCAUCAACAAAUCAGUCCCAGAUCUUGUUCUGCGAGAUUUUAAAAUCACCGUCAUUACCAUAACUCGGUGUAGGUCCAGGAUAAUCCUUUGUUCCACAGUUUUGCAGUAGCGAGUUCCAGGACAAAAUUUCUAACAACUAAAUGCUUAACAAGUAACUUUUGGAUAAAUUAGCAGGACCAUACAUUAAAUGCAUUUUAACAAUCUUUAAUUGAUUCUACUAAUUAGUAGCUUGAGCGUACUUCUUACGCAUGUAUUUAUACAAAAUUUAAUUAAUACAACUCCCAACUGAUAAAAUCUGAUGUCCUGCGUUAAAUGCAAUUUGACAUAGUUCACAGUAAAAAUUUCUAAAAUUAAAUUCAAUAUGCAUUCUCUCAUAAAAAUAUUUGACUACAGUUAUCAAAAUUUUCUAAAAGAUUAUUAUGACACAGUAGGUACUCACAUUUGCCAUUGCAUAUUAUGUUUUAGAUUUGAUUUAAUCUUGCAUUUAUUAAGAUUUGAUAUUAAAGAGGUAUGCGAAGGCAGUAGUAUAUCCAACUUUUUGAUUGAUUACAAUCAUCCAAAGCAAGUUAAGUUCUCAAAUAUUAUCUCUAAGUGUUGUUUUUAUCUGUAAUAAUCUUAAAUUACUUUUGCGCACACCUUUGCGCUACAAAACUAUGUAUGUACAUCUCCUAACCAAUAAUAAAUAAUCCGCAUUAUUUCAGCGUAAGAUCUAUGCUAACUAAGUACCUGCAUGGAGAGUUAGCAAAGACAUCUCACGAGUCAAAACAAGAACCUUUAAUAACUUCAACCUAAUCCCUUGUUUUAAGUACUUGCCAAAAUUCAAACUCAUAGAUAUCUCGCAUACUAUAUAUAAGUCUUGUUUCUUGUUUACAAUCCCCAUCUCUCUUUCGUUUUCCUCCCCUCACUAUGAUGUUCUUGGCCUACACAUCUUCUCUUUUUCUUGUCCAUUUUUUUCUUGAAAAUUUCAUCAUGCAGGACAGGGAAAAGUAUGCUGAAAGUUCGAGUUAUCAACCUAGCCCUAAUGUGGAUAUGGGAAACUGGUCGACUCAACUUGCAAGAAACUGCUGGGAAUACACCUGCACGUUUUGCUUCAAAACCUUUCCCUCUGCUCAAGCCUUAGGGGGUCAUCAAAACGCUCAUCGGGAUGAGCGGAAGGAGGAAAGGAGACUCUGUAUCAGGGACCCCAUUUCGCAUCGUAAGCGCCUCUAUCUUCAGUCACUUUGUCCUCCGGGUCCUCCGGGUCCUCCCGGUGUUGCUGUUUUGCUUCCACCGCAACUGGGUGGUAAGGGUCCUUCUAUUUUGCAUGGCAGUCAACACAAUUCGAACUCAUUGCCUCUAGAUCUAAAUCUUUCUCCUCCAACUGAAUUCAAUGAUGUGGUAGAAGGGGGAACCUAUUCAACAAGGUCGUACUAUGAAAAGGAAAUCAUAUCCGAUGCUGCAAUACCUAAGGCCUCCAACAAACGCAAUGAUGACAAUGAAAUGGUCAACUGUGAGACUCUGGAUUUAAAUUUAAAGCUCUAGACUUGCGUCUUGCAAGAAAGAAUAAAUGAGAACUGAGUAGUCAACUCAGGUGAUGCAAAACAUAUAUAAAUGAAUGAGUUCUCUUUUUGUUAACUAAUGUGUUUCCCCCCUCUUCUUUAUUUAUUGAUAAGUACAGUCUUUCCUAUUUUUCCCAUCAUAUCAUAAUUACUCAUGCAAUCCAACCAGACAAAACUAAAUGACUAUAUAUCAAUCAGUUUCUGUUUCUUUAACCCAGGUUGGAAGGAUAUCAUUACAAGUACAAUAAAUUUCAUAAUCAACGUCAAUAUUCAUCCAAUUUAUGAUAGUAGUAAAGCUCACUCUAAUGGGGAGAUUAUUACAAUAAUCACUACCCUCACAAAGGAAUUAAUAAAGCGUCAUAAUAAGGAAGAAUAACAAACUCACACAAUAACACUGAGAAUCAAGAUCUAAAAGUCCUGAGUCUUAAUCAUAAUCAUCAGGCUAAUACCUUGUUAACGAGUUAAGCCAAUCUUGUUGCGGACGUAUAAUUUAUUUUCCUUAAAUAUGAUUUUAGUUACGAGGGCACGGAAAAAGUGAGACAUACCUCACGUUUCUGCGUGAUCUUUCCCACAAAAUAACACCGUUUUAAAAAAUUACAAAACAUUCUUUUGUACACAACAUGGAAGGGAAUGUAUUUUUUAUAUGAGUAAUGCUACUAUCACAUAAAACCGCUCACAUACAUAUUGGUAUGACCCACAUGACUUGCUCUGCACGUGGGUCAUACCAAUAUGCAUGUGAGUGUAUUAGCGGUUUUUAUGUGAUACUUAUAAUUUUUAUAAAUAAAUACACAAAAUGAAGUCUUUUUUUGUGCGAUAACUCACCCAAUAAUAUGUGGUCUCUCACAUCCCUUUUUGCCUUAUUGUAUACUUGAGUAUUUUAAAUAUAAAUAGGCAAUUUAGGAAAAAUAUUAUUAAAUGAAACCAAUAUAUCAUCUUCCUCCCUGAAAAAUUAGGGAUGAACAGUAGUGCCAAUUCUCUCUCUCUGUCUCUCUCUCUCUCUCUAUAUAUAUAUAUAUAUAUAUAUUUUAUAUAUAAAAUAAUGUAUAUUGAUAUACCAAAUAGAGAAGUUGAAUUGCUCAAACUAAUCUAUUAAGCAUUGUGAUUUUGAUGUCACAUAUUAAAACCCAUUAUCCAAUUCAUGAUAUCCGAAUUGCCUUUCAAGAUAUGCUUAAAGUGAACGACAACAGCAACAACAACACACCCAAGAGUUAGCUCGGCCUAUAAGAAAAAAUUAUUCAUGACACUAGUCGAGUAUAUACUUCACAUCGUAAUUACAAAAGUAAAUAAAACUAUUAAUUUUUAAAAAAAUACAUAAUCGCAGCCAAGAACAAACAAUCGUGCAGAAGCAACAAACUAUUAUUAGGAUUUAGAAAUACUGAUUUUCAAACCUCAUAGAAAAGCCCCAAAUCAUUGUCUCCGUCAAUACGCCGCAAUCCAUAAAUCUGAGGCUUUUUUUUUAUUCUUUGGCGAUCGAGCCGCAAGCCCUAUAUCUGACUUCUCCUGUGUUCCUUUUUCUCAGUUUCUAAUUUUCCAAACAUAUAUUUUC